UUCCUCGUCACGCAGUCUGUCUGAAAGCACAGGAACUGUUCAGCUAACAGCAUUAGUGAUUCACAUCGGCCUUCUGCAUCAGAGAUACCGUCUGUUUCAACUGAGCAAUGUCCUGCUGACCUGGAUCCAAAUACAGAUGGCCAAAUACUGAAGUGCAGGGAUUUCUCUCAAGACCACCCAAGCUACUGCUCU